AUUGAACGCUGGCGGAAUGCUUUACACAUGCAAGUCGAACGGCAGCACGGACUUCGGUCUGGUGGCGAGUGGCGAACGGGUGAGUAAUGUAUCGGAACGUGCCCAGUCGCGGGGGAUAACGUAGUGAAAAUUACGCUAAUAACGCAUACGAUCGAUGGAUGAAAGCGGGGGAUCGCAAGAACUCGCGCGAUUGGAGCGGCCGAUAUCAGAUUAGGUAGUUGGUGGGGUAAAGGCCCACCAAGCCAACGAUCUGUAGCUGGUCUGAGAGGACGACCAGCCACACUGGAACUGAGACACGGUCCAGACUCCUACGGGAGGCAGCAGUGGGGAAUUUUGGACAAUGGGCGAAAGCCUGAUCCAGCCAUUCCGCGUGCAGGAUGAAGGCCCUCGGGUUGUAAACUGCUUUUGUACAGAACGAAAAGGUUUCUACUAAUACUAGGAGCUCAUGACGGUACUGUAAGAAUAAGCACCGGCUAACUACGUGCCAGCCGCCGCAGUAA
rnacentral:rRNA from 1 species